AUUGAACGCUGGCGGCAGGCUUAACACAUGCAAGUCGAGCGAGCGGCGGACGGGUGAGUAAUGUCUGGGAAACUGCCUGAUGGAGGGGGAUAACUACUGGAAACGGUAGCUAAUACCGCAUACCAUCAGCUGUGCCCAGAUGGGAUUAGCUAGUAGGUGGGGUAAUGGCUCACCUAGGCGACGAACCCUAGCUGGUCUGAGAGGAUGACCAGCCACACUGGAACUGAGAACCGGUCCCGAACCCUAAGGGAGGCAGCAGUGGGGAAGAUUGGAAAAUUGGCGCCAGGCUGAUGGAGGCCUGGCGGGUGGGUGGAGAAGGCCUUCGGGUUUUAAAGCAGUUUGAGCGAGGGGGCGUUACUCGCAGAAGAAGCACCGGCUAACUCCGUGCCAGCAGCCGCGGUAAUUC
rnacentral:rRNA from 1 species